rnacentral:rRNA from 1 species
UACAGAGGGUGCAAGCGUUAAUCGGAUUUACUGGGCGUAAAGCGUGAGUAGGUGGCUCGCCAAGUCGAUUGUGAAAGCCCUGGGCUCAACCUGGGAAUUGCAGUCGAUACUGGUGAACUAGAGUUCGGUAGAGGGUGACGGAAUUCCCGGUGUAGCGGUGAAAUGCGCAGAUAUCAGGAGGAACACCGGUGGCGAAGGCGGCAUCCUGGACCGACACUGACGCUGAGGAGCGAAAGCCAGGGGAGCAAACGGG